rnacentral:snRNA from 1 species
GGAUGUGAGGGCGAUCUGGCUUCAACAUCUGUCACCCCACUGAUCGCCAGGGUUGAUUCGGCUGAUCUGGCUGGCUAGGCUGGUGUCCCCUUCCUCCCUCACCGCUCCAUGUGCAUCCCUCCCGAAGUUGCCGGUCAGCUGAGGGUACAGGAGUAGCUACACUCCCCUGCUAGAACCUCCAAACAAGCUCUCAAGGUCUAAUAGAGUGCACAUGUCAUGAUGCACAAAGACUCUGGUUCAAGUCCCCGAUCCCCACUUGCAGGG